rnacentral:piRNA from 1 species
UAGAAAUCAGAAAUCCGCCUGCCUCU